rnacentral:miRNA from 1 species
CGGCAGUAGGAGCUCACAUGC